rnacentral:rRNA from 1 species
GACGAACGCUGGCGGCGUGCCUAAUACAUGCAAGUCGAACGCACGGAGGAAGAACUUGUUCUCCUGAAGUGAGUGGCGCACGGGUGAGUAACACGUGGGAAACCUACCCUUCAGCGGGGGAUAACCAUCGGAAACGAUGACUAAUACCGCAUAGACGACAGAGUCGCAUGACUCAAUCGGGAAAGACGGCUUCGGCUGUCACUGAUGGAUGGUCCCGCGGUGCAUUAGCUAGUUGGUAAGGUAACGGCUUACCAAGGCGAUGAUGCAUAGCCGACCUGAGAGGGUGAUCGGCCACAUUGGGACUGAGACACGGCCCAAACUCCUACGGGAGGCAGCAGUAGGGAAUCUUCCGCAAUGGACGCAAGUCUGACGGAGCAACGCCGCGUGUGUGAAGAAGGUUUUCGGAUCGUAAAGCACUAUUGUUAGAGAAGAACACCCAUUAUAGUAACUGAUAGUGGAUUGACGGUAUCUAACCAGAAAGUGACGGCUAACUACGUGCCAGCCGCCGCGGUAAAAC